GGGAUGACACUAAAACUGUUGUCUCAGUGUUUCACAGAGAACAGGAGUUAAUACUCCCUUCAUUUUGUACCGCUCCCAAAAACAUACAGGAGGAACGCUUCCACUGUCUGGAUGUGAGAAGAGCAGUCCUCGCC